AGCAUAUUAUAUAAUUUAGCAAGCUUUCAUUCAUGGCUACCUAACUUUUCUUCACUCAAACUCCCGACCCUCCUCGCCAACUUGUGAAAUUCGUAUAAAACUCCUACAUAAUCCCACUUUUUGCACUUCCACCCCUCUCCAUCACUUGUGGUUUAUGCUCCCACGAGACUGUUUCAAGCUCCAAAGCUCUAUCAUCAUCAAUUGUUCACGCUGCGCAAGAAGAAGAAGUUAUUCAAGCUCCAAAUUCAGAUUCCCAAACUGCCCUCCUUCGUCUUCCAAGCUUGUUCUUGUUGCUGGCGGCACUGUUGGUGUAGGUCAACUGAUAAUGGCACCGCUGCUUAGCCGGAAUAUCAAAGCAGAAAAAAUUACAGGUAUGUAAAGGGGACACUAGAACCCUGAGGAUGUGGAUCCAUCUAUAUUUCAGAGCCUUUCCUUCAAAGAAAUGGGAUAUGGGACGGGGAUAACACACCAGAAAGAGUAGGUAAUGGCUAUUGGAUUUGCUAUUUCGUUCAGGAGAUAUACUUGUUGGAGAGGUCAGUAGACUUGCGGUUGCAGAAGCUUGCAUACAAGCACUUGACAGAGAAUUCACCGAAGGUGAGAUCUUCGAGAUCAACUUAGUUGAGGGGAAGGGUCCAGAAACGAUCCCCAGAAAUGGCGACAACUGUUUAAAGCUGCCGAUGAUCAGCCUCAGAAUGUUUCACUGGAUUCAGGAGAUUAUGAUGUAUACAAAAAUAAGGCUUGUAAGUUCUAAAUAUUGUACAUAUUAUACAAGGUUUAGUUUAUGAAGCACAAUUUAUUUCCAA